AACUCUUUAACGCGGUACUCCAGCAUGGCCUGAAACAAGUAGAAAAUAAACAGAGAAAGAUGUGUGUGCGUGUACAACGAUCGUAUUGAAAGUAAAUAAACAAUCUAGGUUAUCUAAAAUAUUCACUGAUGUCCUUGAGAGUUGUUUACGUUGGAAGAGACGGUGAAAUCUCUCUAUCAGCCAGCACGCGUACACAGCGCGAUUUCGUUCUGUUUCAUAACCUGCUGAAAAUCACUUAUGAUGUUCAACCUGGUUUCUCUUCACCUAUUCAGUAGCAUGAUUAGCAGGUUUACUACAUUCUCUGUUGGAAGUUAUUUUGAGUUUUUUUUUUUUGUUUGUCUGUUUAACCUAUUAGUACCUUUUAAGCUGUUACUCUUUUCUUUUAGUUAUUUUUUGUUGUUGCUUCUUUUUGUACUAUAAAAUUUAAAAUGUUCAGCUUCUCAUUCUGAUUGGUGCAAACUAACUCUAUCAACAUACAUAGACACAAAUAUACACAUCUACUUAUACUACAGAGUAGCUAAAUUGAUUUCAGUACUAGCAACAUUUUUUUCCUUCAACCUCUAUCUGUAGUGAUUAGUGCUACUCCCUGCAACUGAUAGUCAUAUCUGAUCAAUGCGUGGGCGGCAAGCGGGCAAAACCGUUAGCACGUCCGACAAAAUGCUUAGCAGCUUUCCUUACGUUGUGAGUUCACAUAUCACCGAAACCAACUUUACCGUUUGUCCUUUCGUGGUCAAUAAAAUGAAUACCGGUUGAGCACUGGGGUCGAUGUAAUCAACUUAACCCCUCUCCUAAAAAUUGCUGACCCUGGUGCCAAAAUUUGAAACUACAUAUGAUCAAUACUAGAGUUUCUAUUUUUUUACUUUGAUUCUCAUCACAUUUUUCUUUUGUCAAGGGAGUAGGCAGUGCCUGUACAGUAGCGUAUCUGGUGGUACAGACUGCCCUAGCUGUAUAGGCUGGGAGUGGUGGGGCGUAACCUCACGUGCAGCCCCAAGUAGUACACACUCUAGCUACGUCACAGCACUUGUGACCUGUUACAGGCGUCUGAGACUCGUGAGUGAAGGGAAUGAAGAAGGUAUCCCCAAGCCAGAAGCCUCUCCUCAAUGCUUGCACCAGAGUAAUCUUUGCCUAAGGCCCCCAAGGUGUCAAGUGAUGGAAGCUGGUGCUACAGCUGGCGAUAGUUUAAGUUUCCUACCUGAGUAGACAAUAGCUGGAUUUUAAUUUAGAAUGUGGGAGAAAUAUGAUACAUCUGGUCUGACAUUCUUACAGUUCUGCUAAUCCACCAGCUUUGAUGAGUACCUUUUUAUUGACCCCUCUCCUCUCCACAAAGUUGACCAUGGCAAGGCAGCAAGCAGUCUUUGCACUCUAAUGAACAUUUGCCAAUUUGUUUAAACCUGACAGCAUUUGAAAUGUUUUCUUUACAGGUACUUAUUUGUCUAUUGACUUCGUACUCUGACAAAUGUUCAUAAGAUUAGGACAUAUGCCUUGAUUCAAUGUUAAAACAUUUUUUUUUUCUAAUCUGAUAUUAGAAACUAGGUGCAGGUGUGGAAGUGUUGAUAAGUAGCUUGCUUUCCUACCAUGUGGUCUCAGGUCAAUUCCACUGUAUGGCACUUUAGGCAAGUGUCUGCUACUAUAGCUUCAGGCCAAUCAAAGUUUAGUGCAGUGGUUCCCAAACCAUGCGCCUUUGUGCACUGCAAGAUAUAAUUAGGUGCACCUCGAAAAAGUAAGAUUAUAUUCCAAAAUAUGAAAAAUACAAACUGAAAUUCACAAGAAAGUUCAUAUGUCAAAGUGGCAAAAAAACUGAAUACUAAGUUCUAAACUAAGAAUGAGAGGUGGUUGUGUUAUUUAAUUUUGAAUCUGAAAUUUCCUAGGGAUAAGAACUAAAUUAGCAUCAAUCUAUCCUCGAAAUUGAUGUCUUAUGAACAUAGUGAGUGCACGACUGUUUCAGUUUAUUUCGGUUUGUAGUCUUAGCAGUUUUCAUCUCAGUAAUGAAUGUGAAAAAUAAACUAUUGAACUAAAAUAUAUGAUGUUGAACUAAAUCUUUAAUACAUUCUUAUGUAUUGUGGCUGUAUUUCAAUUUUUUCAUUCAUAUAGUGGUGGAAAUUUUCAUCUUUUCAAUUAAUUUUGAAAGACUUCUCAAAAGAGUCUGAUAAUAUAUGACUCACUGCCAUUUUUCACAGCUCACUGGUCACUUGUCUCAGUUUGACUCUGUUGGUAAUCUGUGCUCUUUGUGCAAGACAAUUCAUAUUAACAGACUAAAUUAGCCAUAGAAUGGAAAAGUUUAGUAAGAGGAAAUAUAACCAUGUUUAUGAAUCUGAAACUGAACAUUCGUCAAAAGCAACUAAGCAUAGUGAUAAUAACGCGAAAGCUCAACCCAAUCGUAAAUAUUGCAAUAGCUAUUUAAAAUUUGGGUUUCAUUGAACUGGCAACAAGAACCAACCUCUUUUGCUGUGGUGUUUGUGGUGAAAAGAUGUCUAAUGACAACAUGUUGAAAAGACAUUUUACAACCAAACACUCACAUCUUCAAUGUAAAGAUCCAAAUUAUUUCCAAAGACAGCUAGAACAGCAAUCUAAACAAAAACUAUUUUGAAAAAAGGAUGAAUGCUUCUGAAAAGGCUCAAGUUGCAUCUAUUGAGAUAGCCGAAAUGAUUGCACUACAAAUGAAAUCGCAUACUUUAGCCGAGUCAAUUAUCUUACCCACUUGUAGAAAGAUGGUGAUGAAGCCGAGCAAGAAAUAAGCAAGAUUCCAUUCUCAAAUAAUAUAAUUCAUAGGAAAAUUAUGGAUUUAUCUGCUGAUAUAGAGGAAAAUGUACAGAACAAACUUCAGAACUCAGAAUUUGCUCUACAGGUUGACGAAUUAACUGGUAUUAGCAACAAAGUACAAUUACUUACAUUUAUUCGCUUUAUUGAUGGUAACUAAAUCAUAAAUCCAUUCUUUUGUUGUGAAGAAAUGCCACUCAUAUUUUUGCCAUUUAUCUGCCUACCUCGAAAAAUGGAAUUUAUCCUGGAAUUCAUGUGUUGGAAUAUGUACCAAUGGGGCACCAUCUAUGAUAGGCUCUAUUAAAGGUUUUGUAUCUCUUGUACAACAGCAAAAUCCUAAUGUUAUACAUACUCAUUGCUUCCUACAUAGGGAGGUACUAGUUUCAAAAACAAUACCUGUUGAGUUAAAACAAGUAUGAAACCAAGUUGUUGAAAUGGUUAAUUAUAUUAAAAGUAGGCCAUUGAAGUGUUGCUUAUUUGAACAAAUUUGUGUUGAUAUGGAUUCCCAACACAUGCAUUUACUUUUACACACAAAUGUCAGAUGGCUUUCAAAAGGUAAGGUGCUACAUCGCAAAUAUGAACUCCAGAAGGAAUUGCAUGCAUUUUUUAAAGAAGAAAAUAUGACUGCUUUUUGGAAUAUCUACAAUGUUAAUUUUGGGUUUCCAAGCUGGAAUAUUUAACAGAGAUAUUUGCACAACUUAAUAGCGUCAACACAAGUAUGCAAGGUAGAGAUGGAAACAUUUUUAAAAAAUGUAAUUUGGAAAAAUAGAGCUGAAGGUGGUAACUUUGAAAUGUUUCCCUUAAUACAUAAAAGCUGCAUAAAAGAAAUGAUUCCUAUUGUAUUUGAACAUUUGACAAAUCUGGAGGAAAACAUAAACUUUUAUUUUUCAUCAUUGAACACAGAAAGAGUAUGAUUAGGUUUGAAUCCCUUCAUAAAAUUCCAUCUAAUAUGGGUCUGAAAAUUUGUGAAGAAGAGGGAAUUUACAUCUAUAUCCAGUGAUCAUGGACUUAAAAUCAAGUAUGCUGAGUUAUCUAUUAAUAUAUCUUGGAUUGCUAUUAUAGGAAAAUAUCACUCAGUAGCAAAAAAAGCUUUAUCUGUUUUGGGGCAGUUUUCCACAUCAUAUUUAUGUGAGUUGGGAUUUUCAACCCUCAAUAACAUCAAAUCCAAAAAAAGAGAGAAGCUCCGUUGUAUCGAAGAAGAAAUGAUGGUUUGUCUUUCUCAAAUACGCCCCAAUAUUGAAAACGUUUCCAAAAAACAUCAAGCACAUGUUUCUCAUUGAUAACUUUGCUUUGAAUAUUGAAUAAAGAUCAUUUGACUGCGGCCAUGCUGGAGCACCACUUGCAAGAAAGAAUCUCAAGACAGCUUCUUCGAUCCGAGCCAAGCGCCAAGAAGACCAAGGGGUAGACCAAUAACGAAAUGUUCUUUUACGGGGCUCAGAAAAACUGAAGGCCCGCUGAAAAUUGAAAGGGGAAUAUGUUGAUGUCCCUGAAGAGUAAGCACGACUCAUCGCUAGUGACAAGAAACUGGAGAUUUUGUUUAUUUCGCUGAAGUAGCUGGUUGAAAACGCGGACUCGCUCGGCCUUGUGAUCGGAAAUGACAUGCGGAUCCCAUCCAGCCACUUUCCAUAUUUUCCCAAGCUUUUUGAGUCGCCUAACAAUGGUGGAAUGAUCGACUUCGAAUUGUUGAGCCAGCAUUUGUGUCGAUAAAAUUUUAUCUACUUCCACCGCUUGCAAAAGAGCUUGAUGAUCAAAAUCAGAUGAACGACCUCUACCUUUCUCAUCUUCUAAGCUUUUGUUGCCGGAUUUGAAACACUAAAACCAUCUUCUAACUUGUCUUUCACCGAUAUUCCGUCACUGAAGAGAGCGCUGAGAUCGUGAAAUACUCAACGAUAGUGUGACUUUUCUCAAAGUCAUAAAGCAGGAUA